rnacentral:lncRNA from 1 species
ACCCGUUAAAAUGCUACCAGGUGUCGACUGUCAAUUGGCCCCUGGGGCACCAGCACCUCGAGUUGCAGUCCCAGUCCCACCAACGCAAUCGCCUUAAAGAGUCUAAUGAGGUUUAAUGGCCAGAGGCCAUUUGGCUAGUCGCCGUAGUUGAACACGAAAUGUCAAAAGGGUUUAACAAAAGAGCACACACAUAGGUCAAAGGUACAGCGAGAUAAUAAUGCGGGGACAGUAUGACAGGAAAGGCUACUAUGAAAUUACCCAUUUAUUUUGAAACCAUUCCGCGCUUAACAACUAUCUACUUUAAUUCGGUAAAAUGCACAAAUAAUCCGUAUUAAAUCUGAAAACAGCUCAGGAAUGCUAUGUUUACAUAGGUUCUACGGGAAAGAGUCAGACACAUUGGAACGUAAAUGAAACCCACAAUUUCACAUGACUUGCACACCCAAAGCGGGUCGAAAUCCCUGCUAUGUGAGAGCUUUUUCAUUCAAAAAGCUUCAAUUAGAAGAGAAAUAUAAGAACGAGGAUAUAAGAGUAGGUAAAUAAUACAAUUCAAACUCAAAUUCAAAUGAAAACCAAAGACAGGUAUGUAUAAACGAGUUUAAAGCGACAAACCUCCAACUAUGCCUUCUCGGAUGCCAUCCCCAUAUCCUUGAACUGCUAGCGUGGCAGACCCCGACAGAGACCUCGUACACGGAAUCGAUCAAACGCUGACUUUGGCAUGGCACCCACCUGGCAGGGAGCCGAAACCAAUGCAACGCGAAUUAAAGCAGGUCAGCAAACUGGCAGCGAACCAACCUAUGAGUGAAGGAAUUUACCCGUAGGUUAGAGUCGAAAC